rnacentral:rRNA from 1 species
UACGUAGGGGGCUAGCGUUGUCCGGAAUCAUUGGGCGUAAAGAGCGUGUAGGCGGUCCGGUAAGUCCGCUGUGAAAGUCGGGGGCUCAACCCUCGAAUGCCGGUGGAUACUGUCGGGCUAGAGUGCGGAAGAGGCGAGUGGAAUUCCCGGUGUAGCGGUGAAAUGCGCAGAUAUCGGGAGGAACACCUAUGGCGAAGGCAGCUCGCUGGGACGGUACUGACGCUGAGACGCGAAAGCGUGGGGAGCAAACAGG